rnacentral:rRNA from 1 species
GGGUUGUGAGGUUAAGCGACUAAGCGUACACGGUGGAUGCCCUGGCAGUCAGAGGCGAUGAAGGACGUGCUAAUCUGCGAUAAGCGCCGGUAAGGUGAUAUGAACCGUUAUAACCGGCGAUUUCCGAAUGGGGAAACCCAGUGUGACUCGUCACACUAUCAUUAACUGAAUCCAUAGGUUAAUGAGGCGAACCGGGGGAACUGAAACAUCUAAGUACCCCGAGGAAAAGAAAUCAACCGAGAUUCCCCCAGUAGCGGCGAGCGAACGGGGAGGAGCCCAGAGCCUGAAUCAGCAUGUGUGUUAGUGGAAGCGUCUGGAAAGGCGCGCGAUACAGGGUGACAGCCCCGUACACAAAAGCGCAUGUGCUGUGAGCUCGAUGAGUAGGGCGGGACACGUGGUAUCCUGUCUGAAUAUGGGGGGACCAUCCUCCAAGGCUAAAUACUCCUGACUGACCGAUAGUGAACCAGUACCGUGAGGGAAAGGCGAAAAGAACCCCGGCGAGGGGAGUGAAAAAGAACCUGAAACCGUGUACGUACAAGCAGUGGGAGCACCCUUCGGGGUGUGACUGCGUACCUUUUGUAUAAUGGGUCAGCGACUUAUAUUCUGUAGCAAGGUUAACCGUAUAGGGGAGCCGGAGGGAAACCGAGUCUUAAUUGGGCGUUAAGUUGCAGGGUAUAGACCCGAAACCCGGUGAUCUAGCCAUGGGCAGGUUGAAGGUUGGGUAACACUAACUGGAGGACCGAACCGACUAAUGUUGAAAAAUUAGCGGAUGACCUGUGGCUGGGGGUGAAAGGCCAAUCAAACCGGGAGAUAGCUGGUUCUCCCCGAAAGCUAUUUAGGUAGCGCCUCGUGAAUUCAUCUCCGGGGGUAGAGCACUGUUUCGGCUAGGGGGCCAUCCCGGCUUACCAACCCGAUGCAAACUGCGAAUACCGGAGAAUGUUAUCACGGGAGACACACGGCGGGUGCUAACGUCCGUCGUGAAGAGGGAAACAACCCAGACCGCCAGCUAAGGUCCCAAAGUCAUGGUUAAGUGGGAAACGAUGUGGGAAGGCCCAGACAGCCAGGAUGUUGGCUUAGAAGCAGCCAUCAUUUAAAGAAAGCGUAAUAGCUCACUGGUCGAGUCGGCCUGCGCGGAAGAUGUAACGGGGCUAAACCAUGCACCGAAGCUGCGGCAGCGAACGUAUCACCCAAGACAACUUUACGGAGUUGACGAUUGACGGAGCGAAGCGACGUCAAAGCGUUCAUUAAAGUCGAGUUGGCUUAGGGAUACGUUCGUUGGGUAGGGGAGCGUUCUGUAAGCCUGUGAAGGUGUGUCGUGAGGCAUGCUGGAGGUAUCAGAAGUGCGAAUGCUGACAUAAGUAACGAUAAAGCGGGUGAAAAGCCCGCUCGCCGGAAGACCAAGGGUUCCUGUCCAACGUUAAUCGGGGCAGGGUGAGUCGACCCCUAAGGCGAGGCCGAAAGGCGUAGUCGAUGGGAAACGGGUUAAUAUUCCCGUACUUGGUGUUACUGCGAAGGGGGGACGGAGAAGGCUAUGUUGGCCGGGCGACGGUUGUCCCGGUUUAAGCGUGUAGGUGUGUGUUCCAGGUAAAUCCGGUUCACUUUAACACUGAGGCGUGACGACGAGGCACUACGGUGCUGAAGCAACAAAUGCCCUGCUUCCAGGAAAAGCCUCUAAGCAUCAGGUAACACGAAAUCGUACCCCAAACCGACACAGGUGGUCAGGUAGAGAAUACCAAGGCGCUUGAGAGAACUCGGGUGAAGGAACUAGGCAAAAUGGUGCCGUAACUUCGGGAGAAGGCACGCUGACACGUAGGUGAAGUGAUUUACUCAUGGAGCUGAAGUCAGUCGAAGAUACCAGCUGGCUGCAACUGUUUAUUAAAAACACAGCACUGUGCAAACACGAAAGUGGACGUAUACGGUGUGACGCCUGCCCGGUGCCGGAAGGUUAAUUGAUGGGGUCAGCGCAAGCGAAGCUCCUGAUCGAAGCCCCGGUAAACGGCGGCCGUAACUAUAACGGUCCUAAGGUAGCGAAAUUCCUUGUCGGGUAAGUUCCGACCUGCACGAAUGGCGUAAUGAUGGCCAGGCUGUCUCCACCCGAGACUCAGUGAAAUUGAACUCGCUGUGAAGAUGCAGUGUACCCGCGGCAAGACGGAAAGACCCCGUGAACCUUUACUAUAGCUUGACACUGAACAUUGAGCCUUGAUGUGUAGGAUAGGUGGGAGGCUUUGAAGUGUGGACGCCAGUCUGCAUGGAGCCGACCUUGAAAUACCACCCUUUAAUGUUUGAUGUUCUAACGUGGACCCGUAAUCCGGGUUGCGGACAGUGUCUGGUGGGUAGUUUGACUGGGGCGGUCUCCUCCUAAAGAGUAACGGAGGAGCACGAAGGUUGGCUAAUCCUGGUCGGACAUCAGGAGGUUAGUGCAAUGGCAUAAGCCAGCUUGACUGCGAGCGUGACGGCGCGAGCAGGUGCGAAAGCAGGUCAUAGUGAUCCGGUGGUUCUGAAUGGAAGGGCCAUCGCUCAACGGAUAAAAGGUACUCCGGGGAUAACAGGCUGAUACCGCCCAAGAGUUCAUAUCGACGGCGGUGUUUGGCACCUCGAUGUCGGCUCAUCACAUCCUGGGGCUGAAGUAGGUCCCAAGGGUAUGGCUGUUCGCCAUUUAAAGUGGUACGCGAGCUGGGUUUAGAACGUCGUGAGACAGUUCGGUCCCUAUCUGCCGUGGGCGCUGGAGAACUGAGGGGGGCUGCUCCUAGUACGAGAGGACCGGAGUGGACGCAUCACUGGUGUUCGGGUUGUCAUGCCAAUGGCACUGCCCGGUAGCUAAAUGCGGAAGAGAUAAGUGCUGAAAGCAUCUAAGCACGAAACUUGCCCCGAGAUGAGUUCUCCCUGAGACUUAGAGUCUCCUGAAGGAACGUUGAAGACGACGACGUUGAUAGGCCGGGUGUGUAAGCGCAGCGAUGCGUUGAGCUAACCGGUACUAAUGAACCGUGAGGCUUAACCUUACAACGCCGAAG